UGGGGAAUAUUGGGCAAUGGACGCAAGUCUGACCCAGCUAUGCCGCGUGAAUGAUGAAGGCCUUAGGGUUGUAAAGUUCUUUUACCAGGGACGAUAAUGACGGUACCUGGAGAAAAAGCUCCGGCUAACUUCGUGCCAGCAGCCGCGGUAAUACGAAGGGAGCAAGCGUUGCUCGGAUUUAUUGGGCGUAAAGGGUGUGUAGGUGGUUUUGUAAGUUAGAUGUGAAAGCCCUGGGCUCAACCCGGGAAUUGCAUUUAAGACUGCAUUACUUGAAGGUCGAAGAGGUUAGCAGAAUUCCCAGUGUAGAGGUGAAAUUCGUAGAUAUUGGGAAGAAUACCGAUGGCGUAGGCAGCUAACUGGUCGACACUUGACACUGAGGCACGAAAGCGUGGGUAGCAAACAG
rnacentral:rRNA from 1 species